rnacentral:rRNA from 1 species
UACAGAGGGGGCAAGCGUUAUUCGGAAUUAUUGGGCGUAAAGGGCGCGUAGGCGGCUUUGCAAGUGACGGGUGAAAUCCCUCGGCUUAACCGAGGAACUGCCUGUCAGACUGCAUGGCUUGAGACCAGGAGAGGUGAGUGGAAUUCCCAGUGUAGCGGUGAAAUGCGUAGAUAUUGGGAGGAACACCAGUGGCGAAGGCGGCUCACUGGACUGGUACUGACGCUGAGACGCGAAAGCGUGGGGAGCGAACAGG